CGGUUCGGUUCGGUUUUCGGUUCUGACAAUGAAAACCCCAACCGAACCGAACCGAACCGGUAUAUUAAAAACCUUAAAAAACAACCCCACCCCACCCCCAAACGUGACUCCUCUCCUGACUCCCUCGUGACCUAACUCCCACCCCCAAACAGAAACCUAGAUCUAGGCCUCUAGCUGCUCUCUUCUCUCCGUCUCGCACUCUUGUUCUCUGCACUGGAGUCUCGAGCUCGAAGCCCUUCCUCCCACCACCUGGCAGCGCCGCCGAAGCCUUAUUCCCAGCGAGCACCGACCCAGCCGCGCUCUUCCCAGCAGCACCGACCCAGCAAUGCUCUUCCCAGCAGCGCUCUUCCCAGCGAGUACCGACCCAGCAGCGCCGAAGCCUUCUUCCUAGUGACAGCGAGCACGGACCCAGCAGCGUUCUUCCCAGUAGCGCCGAAGAGAGGCUUUGCCACUCACCCUAGAAGCAUUGCAGAGAGGGUACGAAGAGCACGAAUUAGCGAAAGAAUCAAGAAAUUGCAAGGCCUUCUCCCGAAAUCUGACAAGUUCAUCCUGAAAGUUGAAAUCCUAUGCGGUAUGUAUCGAGGUAAGA